rnacentral:rRNA from 1 species
UACGGAGGGUGCAAGCGUUAUCCGGAUUUACUGGGUUUAAAGGGUGCGUAGGUGGGUAAGUAAGUCAGUGGUGAAAUCUUCGAGCUUAACUCGGAAACUGCCAUUGAUACUAUUUAUCUUGAAUACUUUGGAGGUAAGCGGAAUAUGUCAUGUAGCGGUGAAAUGCUUAGAUAUGACAUAGAACACCAAUUGCGAAGGCAGCUCACUACACAAAGAUUGACACUGAGGCACGAAAGCGUGGGGAUCAAACAGG